rnacentral:rRNA from 1 species
AUUGAACGCUGGCGGCAUGCCUUACACAUGCAAGUCGAACGGCAGCACGGGUGCUUGCACCUGGUGGCGAGUGGCGAACGGGUGGGUAAUACAUCGGAACAUGUCCUGUAGUGGGGGAUAGCCCGGCGAAAGCCGGAUUAAUACCGCAUACGAUCUACGGAUGAAAGCGGGGGACCUUCGGGCCUCGCGCUAUAGGGUUGGCCGAUGGCUGAUUAGCUAGUUGGUGGGGUAAAGGCCUACCAAGGCGACGAUCAGUAGCUGGUCUGAGAGGACGACCAGCCACACUGGGACUGAGACACGGCCCAGACUCCUACGGGAGGCAGCAGUGGGGAAUUUUGGACAAUGGGCGAAAGCCUGAUCCAGCAAUGCCGCGUGUGUGAAGAAGGCCUUCGGGUUGUAAAGCACUUUUGUCCGGAAAGAAAUCCUUGGCUCUAAUACAGUCGGGGGAUGACGGUACCGGAAGAAUAAGCACCGGCUAACUACGUG